rnacentral:rRNA from 1 species
AAGCCAUGCGAGUCUUUGUAGUAAUACAAGGCAGACGGCUCAGUAACACGUAGUCAACCUACCCCUAUGGACGAGAAUAAUCUCGGGAAACUGAGCAUAAUUCUUGAUAGAUCAUAAUGCCUGGAAUGGUUUAUGGUUAAAAUGAUUCGUCGCCAUAGGAUGGGACUGCGGCCUAUCAGCUUGUUGGUGAGGUAAUGGCCCACCAAGGCGAUUACAGGUACGGGCUCUGAGAGGAGAAGCCCGGAGAUGGGUACUGAGACACGGACCCAGGCCCUAUGGGGCGCAGCAGGCGAGAAAACUUUGCAAUGUGCGAAAGCACGACAAGGUUAAUCCGAGUGAUUUCUGCUAAAGAAAUCUUUUGCCAGUCGUAAAAACGCUGGUGAAUAAGGGGUGGGCAAGUUCUGGUGUCAGCCGCCGCGGUAAAACCAGCACCUCAAGUGGUCAGGAUGAUUAUUGGGCCUAAAGCAUCCGUAGCCGGCUUUGUAAGUUUUCGGUUAAAUCCAUGUGCUCAACGCAUGGGCUGCCGAAAAUACUGCAUAGCUAGGGAGUGGAAGAGGUAGACGGUACUCAGUAGGUAGGGGUAAAAUCCUUUGAUCUAUUGAUGACCACCUGUGGCGAAGGCGGUCUACCAGAACACGUUCGACGGUGAGGGAUGAAAGCUGGGGGAGCAAACCGGAUUAGAUACCCGGGUAGUCCCAGCUGUAAACGAUGCAGACUCGAUGAUGCAUUGGCAUAAUAGCCAUUGCAGUGUCGCAGGGAAGCCGUUAAGUCUGCCGCCUGGGAAGUACGUACGCAAGUAUGAAACUUAAAGGAAUUGGCGGGGGAGCACCACAAGGGGUGAAGCCUGCGGUUCAAUUGGAUCAACGCCGG